ACAUACCUAUAACGUUGCCUCGGCGGGAACAGACGGCCCCGUAACACGGGCCGCCCCCGCCAGAGGACCCCCUAACUCUGUUUCUAUAAUGUUUCUUCUGAGUAAACAAGCAAAUAAAUUAAAACUUUCAACAACGGAUCUCUUGGCUCUGGCAUCGAUGAAGAACGCAGCGAAAUGCGAUAAGUAAUGUGAAUUGCAAAAUUCAGUGAAUCAUCGAAUCUUUGAACGCACAUUGCGCCCGCCAGUAUUCUGGCGGGCAUGCCUGUUCGAGCGUCAUUACAACCCUCAGGCCCCCGGGCCUGGCGUUGGGGAUCGGCGGAAGCCCCCUGCGGGCACAACGCCGUCCCCCAAAUACAGUGGCGGUCCCGCCGCAGCUUCCAUUGCGUAGUAGCUAACACCUCGCAACUGGAGAGCGGCGCGGCCACGCCGUAAAACACCCAACUUCUGAAUGUUGACCUCGAAUCAGGUAGGAAUACCCGCUGAACUUAAGCAUAUCAAUAAGCGGAGG
rnacentral:rRNA from 1 species